AGUGAACGCUGGCGGCAGGCCUAACACAUGCAAGUCGAGCGGCAGCGGGUUCCCGCGAGGGGAUGCCGGCGAGCGGCGGACGGGUGAGGAACACAUCGGAAUCUGCCUGGUUGUGGGGGAUAACGUAGGGAAACUUACGCUAAUACCGCAUGCGACCCUGAGUCGACGGACUGGGGGUGAAAGUGAGGGACCUUCGGGCCUCACGCGACCAGAUGAGCCGAUGUCGGAUUAGCUAGUUGGCGGGGUAACGGCCCGCCAAGGCGACGAUCCGUAGCUGGUCUGAGAGGAUGAUCAGCCACACUGGGACUGAGACA
rnacentral:rRNA from 1 species